CAGUAGCCGCGGGAAUACGAAGGGGGCUAGCGUUGUUCGGAUUUACUGGGCGUAAAGGGCGCGUAGGCGGACUGAUAAGUCAGGGGUGAAAUCCCAAGGCUCAACCUUGGAACUGCCUUUGAUACUGUUUGUCUUGAGUUCGAGAGAGGUAAGUGGAACUGCGAGUGUAGAGGUGAAAUUCGUAGAUAUCGGAAGGAACACCUGUGGCGAAAGCGGCUCACUGGACCAUUUCUGACGCUGAUGCACGAAAGCUAGGGGAGCAAACAGGAUUAGAUACCCGGGUAGUCCCUGUCUCUUAUAC
rnacentral:rRNA from 1 species